CACGUUGAUUGCAUUAUUGGAUAUAUGUAAACAUGAGCUGAAGUUAAGGCAGGGAAGCCACUUAAAGUUAAACCUGAUGAAGACUGUCUCAUCCACCUUUCACAGGCAUGUAUUGGUAAUAGGAAGAAGGGUGAAACUGUUCUCAUGUAUGUGACUGUUAAUGGGAAGAAGCUUGUGAUUAGAACUCUUUCUCAGGAGAAGAAGAUUCCUUAGGUCAGCUUCGAUCUGGUCUUUGAGAAGAAGUUUGAACUCUCCCACUCCUUGGUGAGAGGAAGUAUCUACUUCAUUGGCUACAAAAUGCCCGACCUCGAUGAAUAGGUGGAUUCCUCUUCUUCUGAGGAUUACUCUUCUUCUGACUCAGAAGAAGAGGAGGAAGUGGAGGUCCCUUCAACUGCACUGCCAAUGUAAGUGCUGGAGCUGCUGCUUCGAGUUUGUCAAGUCUGACUCAAAGCCAAAGGUAAAAUGAGAAAGUAGUGAGCUUUGCAUUUCGUAACGAUCAACGUUGAAUGCCACUUCUGUAAUGUAUAAGGCUGUCAUUCAAUCAGCCUAAUUAAGAAUCUGAAAAUGCUUCUAGGAUUUAAUAUCUCUUUGAGAGACGGCUUAGCUUUUAAAGAUUUUGGUAUAAGAAAGAACAAAUAAGCAAAGAUUUUUUUGUUAAUUGUGAUUUCAGCCCAUGGCUCGGUCAAAGUGUACCGGUUUAUGUUUGUUGUAA